CCUCUGAACACCCACCCAGGUGAUUUCAGUUAUUCUGGCUAAUUAGACCUCUGCUCAGGUUGAGGGUGGGCCAGAGCUUAGAUGGGAAUUUAUUACGUUACAAAUUUCAUGUACCAAUAAGAUUGAUAAAGCUGUCAUUUGUCCUGCCCUAACAGGUGCAACAAAGCUAACAGGAAGCUCAGGAAGAUGUCCAUAUUUCUAU